CAGUAGCCGCGGUAAGACAGAGGAUGCAAGCGUUAUCCGGAAUGAUUGGGCGUAAAGCGUCUGUAGGUGGCUUUUCAAGUCCGCCGUCAAAUCCCAGGGCUCAACCCUGGACAGGCGGUGGAAACUACCAAGCUGGAGUACGGUAGGGGCAGAGGGAAUUUCCGGUGGAGCGGUGAAAUGCGUAGAGAUCGGAAGGAACAUCUGUGGCGAAGGCGACUAUCUGGGCCAACACUGACACUGAGGCACGAAAGCGUGGGGAGCAAACAGGAUUAGAUACCCCCGUAGUCCCUGUCUCUUAUAA
rnacentral:rRNA from 1 species